CUUAGUGGUCGGACGGGUGGAGGUAACGGACGUGGGUAACGUAGCCGUUCGUCACUCGGGGAGUAACACUUAGAAAUAAGGUAGCUAAUACCGCAUAAGCGCACGGUCCUGCAUGGGACAGUGUGAAAAACUCCGGUGGUGCAAGAUGGACCCGCGUCUGAUUAGCUGGUUGGCGGGGUAAAGGCCCACCAAGGCGACGAUCAGUAGCCGGCCUGAGAGGGUGGACGGCCACAUUGGGACUGAGACACGGCCCAAACUCCUACGGGAGGCAGCAG
rnacentral:rRNA from 1 species